rnacentral:rRNA from 1 species
GAGGAAGGUCCCCCACACUGGUACUGAGACACGGACCAGACUCCUACGGGAGGCAGCAGUGAGGAAUAUUGGUCAAUGGGCUUACGCCUGAACCAGCCAAGUCGCGUGAGGGAAGACUGCCCUAUGGGUUGUAAACCUCUUUUGUCAGGGAGCAACGCCGGCUACGUGUAGCCGGACUGAGAGUACCUGAAGAAAAAGCAUCGGCUAACUCCGUGCCAGCAGCCGCGGUAAUACGGAGGAUGCGAGCGUUAUCCGGAUUUAUUGGGUUUAAAGGGUGCGUAGGCGGAAUGCCAAGUCAGCGGUAAAAUCGCGGGGCUCAACCUCGCUCCGCCGUUGAAACUGGCGUUCUUGAGUGGGCGAGAAGUAUGCGGAAUGCGUGGUGUAGCGGUGAAAUGCAUAGAUAUCACGCAGAACUCCGAUUGCGAAGGCAGCAUACCGGCGCCCAACUGACGCUGAAGCACGAAAGCGUGGGUAUCGAACAGGAUUAGAUACCCUGGUAGUCCACGCAGUAAACGAUGAAUACUAGCUGUUCGGGGCAAUUGGGCCUUGA